CCUACGGGAGGCAGCAGUGGGGAAUUUUGGACAAUGGGGGCAACCCUGAUCCAGCCAUUCCGCGUGAGUGAAGAAGGCCUUCGGGUUGUAAAGCUCUUUCAGCUGGAAAGAAACGGUCUGCUCUAACAUAGCGGGCUAAUGACGGUACCAGCAGAAGAAGCACCGGCUAACUACGUGCCAGCAGCCGCGGUAAUACGUAGGGUGCGAGCGUUAAUCGGAAUUACUGGGCGUAAAGCGUGCGCAGGCGGAUUGUUAAGCAAGAUGUGAAAUCCCCGGGCUUAACCUGGGAAUGGCAUUUUGAACUGGCAGUCUAGAGUGUGUCAGAGGGGGGUGGAAUUCCACGUGUAGCAGUGAAAUGCGUAGAUAUGUGGAGGAACACCAAUGGCGAAGGCAGCCCCCCUGGGAUAACACUGACGCUCAUGUACGAAAGCGUGGGGUAGCCAAACAGGAUUAGAUACCCUGGUAGUCCACGCCCUAAACGAUGUCAACUGGUUGUUGGGGGAGUGAAAUCCCUUAGUAACGAAGCUAACGCGUGAAGUUGACCGCCUGGGGAGUACGGUCGCAAGAUUAAAACUCAAAGGAAUUGACGGGGACCCGCACAAGCGGUGGAUGAUGUGGAUUAAUUCGAU
rnacentral:rRNA from 1 species